GUGGAACCUCGGCUGGACGACGAGAAAUGGUACCCGGGUUUCGGCGGCGUUUUGAGGGUGAUUUCGUCGCUGCAGGAUUCGGGUGCUGGAACCGGUCUCACGACGUGGAGAAAAAGCGGUGCCUACCAUGCGAUGCCGAAAAUGGAAGGGCAGGCGAGCGUCGAGCCGGAGGAAGCCGCGCCACCGCUUUAUAAAGGUGACGAAAGAAAGCGGUGCUCAUCAUCGUCGAAUUUCCCGUCAGUGUCUCCGUUCUCUCUAAAUGUCUCCCGUGAUUUCUUCCGACGAAUGCAGAUGGGAACACCGGGAUCGUGUUAGGAACCACGGAAUUGAUAUCGAUUGCCGUAGUCAGCGCGCUGCUCGUGUGGUUGCUGGUCGGCCUGAGCCUGGUGUGUUACAGAUACCUCGUGAAACACUCGGACGAGUGUGGCCCUUGCGAGCCGCAGCAGCCGCCGGUUGCUGUUUUAUAUAAAAAUAAGGAAUACUGUGGGAACGACACUUGCGGUCGGCAAGCGGCCAGAAAAAGCUUGAUGGAUAAAUUGAAAGAAUAUUGGAGAAGGAAAUUAGGCAAAUGUCGCGGAUCUUGCAACGACGAUUGCACCGACGAGGAACAAUGUUUAGCAGCUAUAAGUUAUACUAGUAAGGACACGGUGGAUGUUAGCAAUAGUAGCCGAAGUUAUCAGAAGAGAAAAUUUUCCAAAUCGGUCUCGGCGAACUUUCCGAGCUACCAGAAGGAACGUAUCAAACAUAUUUACUACAGCUCCGAUGGCUCGUUAACUACCAACACCGAAAGCCCUCGCAAACCGAGAUAAUGAAUGUCUCUUGCUAGUUAGUGAUCAGAGAUGUCUGAUUGAUGCUAGGCACGUCGUUGAGACGAACGUGACCUUCGACAGGAUGAAUUCGACUUGAAACAGGUGAAUACGACCUGCGAAAGGAUGAAUUUCACACGAGAAUCGAGAAUGCGACCCUAAACAAGGAUAAAUUUGAGAAUGCAAUAUUUGGUCGAGGAAAGGACAAAUUUGAUCGGAACAAGGCGAUUCGAUGAGCCCGAAAAGAUUCCAAGAUGCUCGAAUACGGCCCACGGAAGAAACAUAAAUUCCGAGAGCAAAAAGCAGCGCGACCCGGACCACCCGGCAACAUUUUGAGCCGGCAGGGAGAACCGGUAGCAGCAUCGGUCCCGCGUCCUUUCAAUCAAACCGGCACCUCCGCGGCGACAAGCCGCGGCUGUCGGAAGUGUCGCCGUCGGGCGUUUUAAUUUUAUUACACCUGCA